rnacentral:rRNA from 1 species
UGGCGGACGGGUGAGUAAUGUCUGGGAAACUGCCUGAUGGAGGGGGAUAACUACUGGAAACGGUAGCUAAUACCGCAUAACGUCGCAAGACCAAAGAGGGGGACCUUCGGGCCUCUUGCCAUCAGAUGUGCCCAGAUGGGAUUAGCUUGUUGGUGGGGUAACGGCUCACCAAGGCGACGAUCCCUAGCUGGUCUGAGAGGAUGACCAGCCACACUGGAACUGAGACACGGUCCAGACUCCUACGGGAGGCAGCAUG